CUCUGGAGUGACGGACGGACGUGUGCUGAGUAGCGCUAAUCCUCCCACCUGGAAUAUACCGAGUAAUCUGUGAGGGAGCGUGAACUAUGGCAUGGAUCGUUAGUGUUGAGGUCGCCGCCACCGUGACUCUGGACGACGACACCGGCAAGAUGGCCAUGUUGAUGGUGGUGGUGGUGGUCUCCUCCAUGUUUGAUUAUAGUCGCUCCUUCUCCAGCAUCACUUGUCAUCUUGGAUUACAACGACUGGGAUAUGCGGGGGCCGGACUGUUUGCCCGAGGAACCACUGCCGGCGGUUAUGGACGGUGAGGGAGAUUCACCUGUCACGGGUUGUCAAUACCCGCUGUGGUCACCGCCUGCUGGCUGCUUGACUGGACGAUGGCACCCACAUCACCACCAUCAUCAUCAAGAUGGUAGACAGUGUGUUGUAUCGUGAUCACUGCUUCUCCGGCCUCGCUGCCAUCUUGGACUACAAGAAUCAGGGGCCAGAUUCACAAAGC